rnacentral:rRNA from 1 species
ACGAACGCUGGCGGCGUGCUUAACCCAUUCAAGUCGAACGGAAAGGCCCUGCUUUUGGGGGGUUCUCGGGUGGCGAACGGGUGAGUAACACGUGGGUAACCUGCCCUUGACUUUGGGAUAACUUCAGGAAACUGGGGCUAAUACCGGAUAGGAGCUCCUGCUUCAUGGUGGGGGUUGGAAAGUUUCGGCGGUUGGGGAUGGACUCGCGGCUUAUCAGCUUGUUGGUGGGGUAGUGGCUUACCAAGGCUUUGACGGGUAGCCGGCCUGAGAGGGUGACCGGCCACAUUGGGACUGAGAUACGGCCCAGACUCCUACGGGAGGCAGCAGUGGGGAAUAUUGCACAAUGGGCGGAAGCCUGAUGCAGCAACGCCGCGUGCGGGAUGACGGCCUUCGGGUUGUAAACCGCUUUCGCCUGUGACGAAGCGUGAGUGACGGUAAUGGGUAAAGAAGCACCGGCUAACUACGUG